rnacentral:rRNA from 1 species
AGCUCCAAUAGCGUAUAUUAAAGUUGCUGCAGUUAAAAAGCUCGUAGUUGCAUUUCCGAGGCAAGGGAUUAGUCCGACCUUUGGUGGGUAUUUAAUCCUCUUGCCUCGUCCUUGAGUGGUGCUUCUUGGUAUUAAGUUAUCGAGGAGAUAGCCGCUCAUCGUUUACUGUGAGAAAAUUAGAGUGUUCAAAGCAGGCUUAUGCCGUUGAAUAUAUUAGCAUGGAAUAAUAAGAUAGGACCUCGGUACUAUUUUGUUGUUUUGAGAACCAAGGUAAUGAUGAAUAGGGACAGUUGGGGGUAUUCGUAUUCAGUUGUCAGAGGUGAAAUUCUUAGAUUUACGUAAGACGAACUACUGCGAAAGCAUUUACCAAGGAUGUUUUCA